UACGGAGGGUGCGAGCGUUGUUCGGAAUUAUUGGGCGUAAAGGGCGCGUAGGCGGUCCGGUAAGUCACCUGUGAAAUCUCCUGGCUCAACUGGGAGCUUGCAGGCGAAACUGCCGUGCUGGAGUGUGGGAGAGGUGCGUGGAAUUCCUGGUGUAGCGGUGAAAUGCGUAGAUAUCAGGAGGAACACCUGUGGCGAAAGCGGCGCACUGGACCACAACUGACGCUGAGGCGCGAAAGCUAGGGGAGCAAACAGG
rnacentral:rRNA from 1 species